CCAUAAACAUUUAACCAAUUUCAAUUCACGCUAAAUAGUAAAAUACAAUGCCCAAUAGUGACAACACUAGUGAGGAAAUCUGGGCUCAUGAGUAAGCCCAGAAGUAGAAAGCAAGCAUCGGCUAACUCGUUUGAACAAGCAUUCAAAUUUUUCACAUCAGUUAAAAAAACAACAAUAUGUGAAUACCAGGCUGAAUUUGAACACAUUUAGGCCGAAAAUUAAACUAAGAAUUAAAUCGAAAGCAAUUUACAAACUUAAAUUUCUUGGAACUAAACGAGGCAGUGCUGAAUAACUAAACAAUUUUACAGGACAAAAAAGGGUAAAUCAACAUAACAGUAGGCUGAUUGAAGGGAGAAACAAAGCCAAAUCCAAAUUUGCCAAAAGAAACAAAAUAAAUUAACUAAUCUGAUGAGUAUUCAACCAUAACUGAAUACUAACUGAAAUUGGGUUAACCGAAAUUAGAAAAAUCCCAUAAAACUCACAAAUUAAACUAACUGAACUCAUAUUUCUCUACUUAUGCAUAUUAUCCUAAACAUGAAUAACUUUUAAACCAGACACAUGUAAACAACAAACCAACAUGAGGUGUUCUUCCUACAAAUACAUAUAACUCGAUAGACUAACACCCCAAAUCCAACCUUAAGGUGAAUACUAUGAAGGGAAUACACAUAGCACAGCUAAGUUGAUAAAAGCACAAACAAAUUCUAAAGGGCUCAGACAUCUAUUCAGCAACGAAACUAGCAGUUAUCAUUAAAUCUUCAACCUAAUUACAUGGUUUCUCAUUUUGCACCCCAUAUGUUACUCAAGAGCCAAGGCAUACCUUGAAAUCAAAAUAAAAGUAAAUGAGUGAGAACUUCAAGCAGUAACAGCAGCUCAGCACAUCAACACCAACAAUUCUCAAUUCUUCUAGACCAUUUUCGGACCAAAAUAAGCCAGAAAUUAUUUUGAAAGUUUAAAUCUACUCCUAACAAUGAACCUAGAGAGCAAUUUUCAGCAAUUUAAGUUGAAAAUGAUAUGGAAAACACUGAUGUAUUUUUCAGAAUAUCCAAGGCUGCCUUUGAAAUGAGUCAAAGAAGUCUUUAUAUAGGCAUCCUAAGGCAGCUCUAGCCUGAAUGACUAUUUUCUCUUUUACCCUUCAAAUUCAUGGUUAUUUUCCCUCUUUUAAUCCUUUGAAAUAUCUGAAAAUACACUCCCCUUAACCAACCAGCCAAACCUUAUCCUCUAGAAGCUUCUAUGCUAACAGAAAUUAUUCUCUACCAACCUAAAUGCCCAAAACAGCUCUGGACACCUUCUGUAUUUACCCUCAGGAAACAAAAUAUUGGGUCAAAUUAUCCCAAGACUCAGCCCAAACCCAAGGGUCUGUAUACUAACAACCUAACUUACAACGUCAAACCACCAAACAAAGAGCAUUGAAGCUCAAAUGAUGUCCGCUGCUCAGGUCAAACAAAAGAAAAGGUAGUAAGGGAAAAGAAAUGAGUCCUAGAGAACUCAAAUAAUUUAAACCAAAAAAGAAAAACACUUAAUAAAUUCAACAAUAAUUCGAACCUUAUAAACCAAACCGGGUAAAACAAAACAAAUGAAUCAAACAAAGUAAACAAGGAAAAAAAAGACCUAAAUGCAUUUAACCCAUAUUAUAUUCUCAAAAUGAACUAUGUCAACGAGAACUCAACCAAAAUUUAAAAAAAUAAAAUAAAAAGGAAGAACACAUUCUGAAAGUACCAGAGACAAAUGAGUGACUUGGUGGCAGGCAUUAUUUAACAGACUUGCUGGUCUUUAGUAUUGCAUGAGGCCGAUGGGCUUCGAAACGAAUCGAAGUCCAUGGUAGUCACUCGAUCUCAAGGAGAAGAUUUGACGGGCGUAAGCUUCGACCCAUUAUCAGCCCAGAACCGCUUGAAUUCUGACAAAGGAGCAAGAUUAGGAUUCACGGAACUCUAGUCUUUGAUCUGGAAUUCGAAGGCUUCAACUAUGAUUUGAGUGAAAUUCUUUUCGGAUUCAGGACGAGGAGGGGCUGGGGAUUGUAGGGUAUAGUAUUGGAGGUGUUUGGGUAUUGCACCGUCGGCGGAUGGUGGUAGAGUAUUAGGGAGGAAUUUUAGGAUUCUUGAUGAAGAUGAAGGGAUAUGGGGUGUUUAGAUUGGGGGAGGGGGGCGACCAAGGUUCAGACAUUUUUACUCGUAGGAAAGUCAGUUCUCAUCCGUUCUAUGAGUAGAGAAUACGGAUGGGAUUAGCUUUGAUCAAAACAGUGUCGUCUUAGUUAUGGUGGGUUUGGACCGAGUUGUGGC
rnacentral:lncRNA from 1 species